UAGGGAAUCUUCCACAAUGGGCGCAAGCCUGAUGGAGCAACACCGCGUGAGUGAAGAAGGGUUUCGGCUCGUAAAGCUCUGUUGUUGAAGAAGAACGUGCAUGAGAGUAACUGUUCAUGCAGUGACGGUAUUCAACCAGAAAGUCACGGCUAACUACGUGCCAGCAGCCGCGGUAAUACGUAGGUGGCAAGCGUUAUCCGGAUUUAUUGGGCGUAAAGAGAGUGCAGGCGGUUUCUUAAGUCUGAUGUGAAAGCCUUCGGCUCAACCGAAGAAGUGCAUCGGAAACUGGGAGACUUGAGUACAGAAGAGGGCAGUGGAACUCCAUGUGUAGCGGUGGAAUGCGUAGAUAUAUGGAAGAACACCAGUGGCGAAGGCGGCUGCCUGGUCUGUAACUGACGCUGAGACUCAAAAGCAUGGGUAGCGAACAGGAUUAGAUACCCUGGUAGUCCAUGCCGUAAACGAUGAGUGCUAGGUGUUGGAGGGUUUCCGCCCUUCAGUGCCGGAGCUAACGCAUUAAGCACUCCGCCUGGGGAGUACGACCGCAAGGUU
rnacentral:rRNA from 1 species